AGGUAAAAAUAAUUCUACUGCCAAGCUUCUUGGAAUUAUAUUGCCAAUAGUGUUUGUCAAUGUAGUAGCUGCCAUAACCCUCUAUAUCUUGAAUGUGCGUAAGAAGAGAAGAUCCCGAGGAACAAAGCUUCCCCAAAGAACCCAUACAGUUGAGGACUUUGAAAGCAUCAAGUCAACAUUGUUAUCCCUGUCAUCACUGCAAGUAGCAACAAAUAACUUUGAUGAGAGCAAUAAACUAGGCCAAGGGGGAUUUGGUGCAGUUUAUAAGGGAGAUCUUUCCGGACAAGAAGUCGCCGUGAAGAGGCUGUCAGAGGGUUCGAGUCAGGGGCUAGAAGAACUAAGAAAUGAGCUAGUUCUUGUGGCCAAGCUUCAUCACAAGAAUCUCGUCCGGCUGGAGGGUUUUUGCUUAGAAGACGGGGAGAGAUUGCUCGUCUAUGAGUACAUGCCCAACAAAAGCCUCGACACUUUGCUUUUUGGUAUUAGAAAUCUUCCAAGAAUCUAUACACUAUCUUUAUUAACAGCUCUGCAUUUUCAUCAUAAGCCAUAAGAUUCUGAUUCUGUUAGACCCUGAGGAAAAAGGACGGCUAGAUUGGAGGAAAAGAUUCAACAUAAUAGAAGGAGUUGCUUGAGGAUUGCAGUAUCUUCAUGAAGACUCUCAGAAGAAAAUUGUCCACCGUGACAUGAAAGCAAGCAAUAUUUUGUUGGAUGCCGACAUGAACCCUAAAAUUGGUGAUUUCGGCCUAGCCAGGCUUUUUGGGCAAGACCAGACACGAGAUAUCACGAACCGCAUCGUUGGGACAUUGUAUCCAAUCAUUGUCAAUUUGUUAACCAUUCGGUUUAGCCUCCCAUUCAGGCACACAGUGCUGUCAAAACUGACCAUGGUGCUAAUUCUUGUCAUUGCAGUGGCUACAUGUCUCCUGAGUACGUUAUGCGUGGACAGUACUCCACGAAACUGGAUGUGUUCAGCUUCGGCAUCCUUGUUAUAGAGAUCAUAACGGGACAGAGAAACACGGGGCAUUACUUACAUGAGCAAAACGAAGACAUUAUAAGCAUCGUGAGUACUAGGCAAUAAACACACUAUCUUGCCUGUAACAAUACUUGCAUAUUGCGAGGUUAUACUGUUGUUGAUUAUGAACACAUGAACGAUACUAGGUAUGGAGGCACUGGUCUGAGGGAACAAUUGUAGACAUGAUAGAUGAUUCCCUGGGAAGGAACUACUCAGAGGCUGAAGUGCUAAAAUGUGUUAACAUUGGUUUGUUGUGCCUUCAGUAGAAUCCCAUGGACCGACCUACAAUGUCGGAUGUCAUGGUGAUGCUAAACAGCGACACUACCAAUUCUCUGCCUCCUGCUGCAAGACCAACAUUUUUCUUGGAUCCAAGCUCAGGCUACUCUUACACUUUCGGCACUGCUUCCGGUAUUAUUUCAAUCUUUCCGCCAGGUAGCGCCACACCAUGGCCUAAGGAACAGCCGUUGUGGGUAGCGACAUCUUGUUGCAUAAUUGUUCCUUGUUGCAUAGUAGUUCAGAGAAACUGGUGCAAUUAGUUCACAAUGAAGUGUAAUUUUUGUUUUUUUACUGAAUUCUCAAAACGACAGCUUCUUUUUAA